rnacentral:rRNA from 1 species
UGCGUAGGUGGCGGGGUAAGUCGGAUGUGAAAUCUCCGAGCUCAACUCGGAAAAGGCAUUGGAAACUACCUUGCUCGAGGGUUGGAGGGGGGACUGGAAUACUUGGUGUAGCAGUGAAAUGCGUAGAUAUCAAGUGGAACACCAGUGGCGUAAGCGAGUCCCUGGACAACUCCUGACACUGAGGCACGAAAGCUAGGGGAGCAAACA